rnacentral:misc_RNA from 1 species
GAUGAAGAACGUAGCGAAAUGCGAUAAGUAAUGUGAAUUGCAGAAUUCAGUGAAUCAUCGAAUCUUUGAACGCACAUUGCGCCCGCCAGUAUUCUGGCGGGCAUGCCUGUCCGAGCGUCAUUUCAACCCUCGAACCCCUCCGGGGGGUCGGCGUUGGGGACCUCGGGAGCCCCUAAGACGGGAUCCCGGCCCCGAAAUACAGUGGCGGUCUCGCCGCAGCCUCUCCUGCGCAGUAGUUUGCACAACACGCACCGGGAGCGCGGCGCGUCCACGUCCGUAAAACACCCAACUUCUGAAAUGUUGACCUCGGAUCAGGUAGGAAUACCCGCUGAACUUAAGCAUAUCAAUAAGCGGAGGA